GGCAGGAGCCCUGGGAAGAGUUCUCUUUUCUUCUUAACUGCCUCUUGCCCUGGAAUCGGUUCGGCCGGAGAUAGGGCUAUACGGCAGGCAAAGCACCUUAAGUCUUGAGGUGUCCGGCGCGCUCCCGACGGCCCGUGAAAAUCCGGGGGAGCGGUUCGUUCUCACGCCUGGUCGUACUCAUAACCGCAUCAGGUCUCCAAGGUGAACAGCCUCUAGUCGAUAGAGCAAUGUAGAUAAAGGAAGUCGGCAAAAUGGUUCCGCAACUUCGGGAGAAGGAAUGGCUCUGAAGGCUGGGCGUAGGGGUCCUAGGUCCGAAGUCCAAGG
rnacentral:rRNA from 1 species